rnacentral:lncRNA from 1 species
GUAUUAUGUGAUAAUAUUUUCUCAUAUUUUCCACCCUAGAAAACAUGAGAGAUAAAAAGGUGGGUGUGAUAAAAUUUUGAUCCUUUUUAUCCUUACUAUUCUUAUGAUAAAUGUGCCAUAAGAACACUCUUAUGACUUAACUUUCCUCAAAAAAGAAAAUGACUUAUCUUAACUGCUUAGCAUAACAAUCCCUUCCAUCACUUGUGAUACACAUAAUAGGAUUUGAAUAAAUUUUCACCCCAAAAGAAACCGUUGUGAAUUUUUACAGGCAUAUGGUGCUUUAAAAAAAAGAGUUUUACAGGUCUCAAAUACAAGGCAUCUGUAUUAUUUUAAUUUUGUUGAAAUUGUUGUUGGGAGCAGUAUUUUAUAGUCUCCUAUAAUAGUGGACGGUGAAUCUUGCUGAAUUUAUACAACACUUGUUAGUGGGUUGGAUUGUAGUUUAAGUUUUGAGACAGCUAUAUCCAUGUGGUAAAGCUUGUCAUUUACGUCUGCAUGCACAAAUUAUUGCUACUUCUAUCUCUUCUCUUCUGUUGGAUUUGUGAUUUCCAAGUUUGGAUUUCAAAAGUAUGUAUUCUUUUCCAAAAUUUUCUUAUCUCAUUGCAACUUUGCAGCAUGAAGUUCCAAAUUUUCUGAUCUCAUAUAUAAACACAAAUAGCCAAAACGUUACAUAUGGACACAUUUUCGCUGAUAUAUGACACAGCAAAUCGUGGCAAAGAAGAAAAAUAGUUAAUAAAGGAACCAAAUUUUGGGGCAAAAGGAGGUGUAAAAAGACAAAAGUUGUUCACAAGAUGGGAGACCACAGAGAAGAAAAUUUGUGAGUCUCUACCUUUUGAUAAAGGGAUUUGGCCACAUCACAUCUUAAUCUUUUUUUACUUGUUGCAAACAUUGGGAAUCAGCCACCUGUUAUAUACUCCUUUGACUAACACUAUUUAACCAUGUCUGUCACCCUUUUCUUUGUCAAGAUUGAGAAUCUUUUAGUUUCA